rnacentral:rRNA from 1 species
UAGUGGGGGACAACGUUUCGAAAGGAACGCUAAUACCGCAUACGUCCUACGGGAGAAAGCAGGGGACCUUCGGGCCUUGCGCUAUCAGAUGAGCCUAGGUCGGAUUAGCUAGUUGGUGGGGUAAUGGCUCACCAAGGCGACGAUCCGUAACUGGUCUGAGAGGAUGAUCAGUCACACUGGAACUGAGACACGGUCCAGACUCCUACGGGAGGCAGCAGUGGGGAAUAUUGGACAAUGGGCGAAAGCCUGAUCCAGCCAUGCCGCGUGUGUGAAGAAGGUCUUCGGAUUGUAAAGCACUUUAAGUUGGGAGGAAGGGCAGUAAGCUAAUACCUUGCUGUUUUGACGUUACCGACAGAAUAAGCACCGGCUAACUCUGUGCCAGCAGCCGCGGUAAUACAGAGGGUGCAAGCGUUAAUCGGAAUUACUGGGCGUAAAGCGCGCGUAGGUGGUUUGUUAAGUUGGAUGUGAAAGCCCCGGGCUCAACCUGGGAACUGCAUCCAAAACUGGCAAGCUAGAGUACGGUAGAGGGUGGUGGAAUUUCCUGUGUAGCGGUGAAAUGCGUAGAUAUAGGAAGGAACACCAGUGGCGAAGGCGACCACCUGGACUGAUACUGACACUGAGGUGCGAAAGCGUGG